AUUAGCGCUUUAGUUAACGUUAUAAUUGGACGUAGAUGGAAAGAAUUGAUGAUCACAUCACUUGCUCUUUUAGAAUUAUCCACUCCUUAACAACAUCAGACGUUAGCAAUUGGUACGGAGUGAUUUGAACUGUGCAUUUAAAUUCCGUUGCUAAAUCUUUCAUAGACUGAGUCCUUGAAAUCAAAUAAGGUCCCUUCCAGCAAGGCUUACGUCUCCGCUGAACUGACUUAAACCUUGUAUUUAGCACCACAAUUUCUGCACUGCCCGAAGAAUUUGGCUACCAUUAAAUUGCCCCUUCUUUCCCAUGUAGAACUGAGCCUGCUGUGCUGCUGGAAUGUCUAAUUCAGCAACAAAAACUGUAGAACUGAGCCUGCUGUGCUGCUGGAAUGUCUAAUUCAGCAACAAAAACUGUAUCAGCCUUGUGGGAAAGGUUUUGGUGGUGGUACAUAAACAUGGGUAGCAGUUCGAGUGGGAUUAUAGGGUCAGCAUGUGCCGCUUUCUCCCCUGGACGUGAAUGGGUGGCAGAUUGCUCUUCAGUUCCUACACCAAUCUCUUCUUCCGUUUCUACACCAAUUUCCUCUUGAUCAUCAUAACUUUUCCCACAGUUUAAUGGUUGAAUCUGAAAUCCUUAAUUGAUUCUUUUAAUGUACAACUCAGUUGAUUCCAAUAAGAUAGAAAUUUUGUUCUCCACCGGAAGCUCUUCUGGCACAUUAGGUUGCUCAAAACACUGUUGAUUACAUGCCCACAUAAAAUAAAGAUGUUUUUUUAAA